rnacentral:rRNA from 1 species
UACGCAGGUGGCAAGCGUUGUCCGGAUUUACUGGGCGUAAAGAGCGCGCAGGCGGUCGUUCAAGUCGCGUGUGAAAGCCCCCGGCUCAACUGGGGAGGGUCACGCGAUACUGAUCGACUCGAAGGCAGGAGAGGGUAGUGGAAUUCCCGGUGUAGUGGUGAAAUGCGUAGAUAUCGGGAGGAACACCAGUGGCGAAGGCGGCUUUCUGGGCCUUACCUGACGCUGAGACGCGAAAGCGUGGGGAGCGAACCGG